rnacentral:rRNA from 1 species
UACGUAGGGUGCGAGCGUUAAUCGGAAUUACUGGGCGUAAAGUGUGCGCAGGUGGCCGCGCAAGUCGAGUGUGAAAGCCCCGGGCUUAACUUGGGAAUUGCGCUCGAAACUACGUGGCUAGAGUGUGGCAGAGGGAGGUGGAAUUCCACGUGUAGCGGCGAAAUGCGUAGAGAUGUGGAGGAACACCAAUGGCGAAGGCAGCCUCCUGGGCCAACACUGACACUCAUGCACGAAAGCGUGGGGAGCAAACAGG